rnacentral:rRNA from 1 species
CCCCUUGUAGGUGAACCUGCAGAAGGAUCAUAACACGUAUCCACACGUUUAUUAAUUCUGUAUAUCUAUCUUUGUGAACCGGUGGCCUGUGACCCUUUUUUACUAUUACCCCAAACUCCUGUAAAGGAUUUUUUGAUCAUUCCUGUUUUUUAAACAUUUUAUUCGAUGUUCCGCUGAGAGUGCGAAUAUACCGAACCGACCACAUGACCCUUAGCGAAGGAUGUCUUGGUUCCGGCUUCCGGCAACGAUGAAGAACGCAGCGAAAUGCGAUACGUAAUGCGAAUUGCAGAAUUCAGUGAAUCAUCAAAUCUUUGAACGCAAAUUGCGCUUCAAGGUUUCCCUUGAAGCAUGCCUCCUUCAGUGUCGUGUCUUUUUCACAUUCCCGACGAUGAGUGCUGCGUGCCACCACAGUGUGUGCGGCUGAGUCUUUCGGGAGAGAGUGAGCUUCGCCCCCGGUUUUUUGCGGGAGGGCGUUGCUUCAGAUCACGGCAAGCCGGCGUCCCGGUAAUAUACCAAUUACCGGACGGGGCACAUUCGCACCUUGGGGGUGUUGUGUGUACUGCGGAUCUUUGCUGUUGACGGCGCGUGUAAUGCGGCUGAUGUGGGUAGCCAACCACUUGGACGAAACAUCCUUUGAGUUCCGUAUAUUACAUGAGCGUUCGAGGCCGAGGUCAUUUAUACGCGGUUCCCUUCCCUCCUGUUAUCUGGUGUCUGGGUGUGCUGACGGUUUGUAGUAAAUCCAACGGGUUUCAGCCUCUUUAUAAUUGAGGACGAGCUCCGACGAUUGACCUGAAGUGAGGUAAGAGGACCGGCCGAUUUAAGCAUAU